rnacentral:rRNA from 1 species
AAUGAACGUUGGCGGCGUGGAUUAGGCAUGCACGUCGAGCGAGAUCUGUAGCAAUACAGUGAAAGCGGCGAAAGGGAGAGUAUACGUAGGUACCUGCCCUCGGGUCUGGGAUAGCUGCGGGAAACUGCAAUUAAUACCAGAUGACGUCUGAGGACCAAAGGUGUGAUUCCGCCAGGGGAUGGGCCUGCGUCCUAUCAGCUAGUUGGUGUGGUAAAGGCGCACCAAGGCAAAGACGGGUACGGGGUGUGAGAGCAUGCCCCCGCUCACUGGGACUGGGACACGGCCCAGACACCUACGGGUGGCUGCAGUCGAGAAUCUUCCGCAAUGGGCGAAAGCCUGACGGAGCGACGCCGCGUGUGGGAUGAAGGCCUUCGGGUUGUAAACCACUGUCAGUGGGGAGCAAAUGGCUAGGGGUUCUCCCCUAGUCUUGAGCGAUCCGCAGAGGAAGCACAGGCUAAUUCUGUGCCAGCCGCCGCCGUAAGAC